AAAAUUCCAGGGCUCUAUAGAGUAAAACUCUUUCUUAUUCCAGGACUGCAAUCCGAACGGGAAAGCUUUGAGCAGGGAAAGACGAAUAACAAACACUUUGGGAUGCCUGCUGAAAAACAUGGUGAACAGAUUGAAGGGUGAAUUGAAACCAUGGAUGCAGAGCAACUUAGAUAGUGUGGUGACCAAGAUGGAGAAUUUCGUUGCUGAUUAUUAUAAGAACAUUGAAGACUUCCUAUUCUAAGUCAACUUCAAAUUUUUAUAACCCAUCAAUUUAUUAGCUAGACAAUAGUAGGAUUAAUCUUGUAAUGAAUACAUACAUUUUUAUUAUCCUAGCUAGUUGGUCACUAUAUCAGAUAUCAUAGUUAUGAUACAAAUUUUGUUUAGUUGGAUCUGAGUUUGUAUUGUUUGUUAUUAUGGUUAUUUUUAAUGGAAUUUGACUUUGUUAUAAGUUGUUCAGUAAAAUUAUUUAUUUAGUCCUGAUUAAAAAUUUUAAAUAGCAAAAAAAAAAAAU